rnacentral:rRNA from 1 species
AUGAAGAUAAGGAAGAAAGAGAUGUUUAUUUGCUGUCCAAAAAGUUCUCUCACGUCACUUUUGGCCCAAGAGAAGAUAGAGUCCAAGUCUCUCAUGUUCUGGAUUCAGAUUCGGACUGCACAGACAUACCUGACUCAAAACGCACACAAGUUUUUCAUACGGACUCCGAAUUGGGUGAUUCUUUUAUUGUUGGAAACUAGAUUUUGUGCACUUUCCAACCCAAUUGGAAUCACCUUCAAAUUCGUCCGGAGCGUUGAGUUGUGGACGAAACAAUCUGAUGCUGCAGCAGAAUCCGAGUCAAACUACAAGUCCAAAGGUGUUACAUCACCUCCACUUGGGCCCAUUGGUCUUGUACGACCUAGAUUUAGUUUUAGGCUGCCUUGGAACGUCCUCCCACCUCCUUGGCCGCCAACCCUUGCUCCUAUAUAA